UACGUAGGGCGCAAGCGUUAUCCGGAAUUAUUGGGCGUAAAGAGCUCGUAGGCGGUCUGUUGCGUCCGCUGUGAAAACUCGGGGCUUAACCCCGAGCCUGCAGUGGAUACGGGCAGACUAGAGGUAGGUAGGGGAGAAUGGAAUUCCCGGUGUAGCGGUGAAAUGCGCAGAUAUCGGGAGGAACACCGGUGGCGAAGGCGGUUCUCUGGGCCGAUAUUGACGCUGAGGAGCGAAAGCGUGGGGAGCGAACAGG
rnacentral:rRNA from 1 species